rnacentral:sRNA from 1 species
CGGUGUUAAAUUACCUGCUCCGCUUUUACUAAAUACA